rnacentral:rRNA from 1 species
AGAGUUUGAUCCUGGCUCAGGACGAACGCUGGCGGCGUGCCUAAUACAUGCAAGUCGAGCGAAAUUGCCAGGAGCUUGCUCCUGACAAAUUAGCGGCGGACGGGUGAGUAACACGUGGGCAACCUGCCCUUAAGAUUGGGAUAACACCGGGAAACCGGUGCUAAUACCGAAUAGGAGCUGUAGAAGCAUUUCUGUAGUUG